rnacentral:rRNA from 1 species
UGCAAGUCGAGCGAGACCUUCGGGUCUAGCGGCGGACGGGUUAGUAACGCGUGGGAGCGUACCCUUCUCUAAGGAAUAGCCACUGGAAACGGUGAGUAAUACCUUAUACGCCCUUCGGGGGAAAGAUUUAUCGGAGAAGGAUCGGCCCGCGUAAGAUUAGAUAGUUGGUGGGGUAAUGGCCUACCAAGUCUACGAUCUUUAGCUGGUUUAGAGGAUGAUCAGCAACACUGGGACUGAGACACGGCCCAG